ACGGCGAGUGAAGCGGCAAGAGCUCAAAUUUGAAAGCUGGCUCCUUCGGGGUCCGCAUUGUAAUUUGCAGAGGAUGCUUCGGGAGCGGUCCCCAUCUAAGUGCCCUGGAACGGGACGUCAUAGAGGGUGAGAAUCCCGUAUGGGAUGGGGUGUCCGCGCCCGUGUGAAGCUCCUUCGACGAGUCGAGUUGUUUGGGAAUGCAGCUCUAAAUGGGUGGUAAAUUUCAUCUAAAGCUAAAUAUUGGCCGGAGACCGAUAGCGCACAAGUAGAGUGAUCGAAAGAUGAAAAGCACUUUGAAAAGAGAGUUAAAAAGCACGUGAAAUUGUUGAAAGGGAAGCGCUUGCGACCAGACUCGCUCGCGGGGUUCAGCCGGCAUUCGUGCCGGUGUACUUCCCCGCGAGCGGGCCAGCGUCGGUUUGGGCGGUCGGUCAAAGGCCUCUGGAAGGUAACGCCCCCUCGGGGGCGUCUUAUAGCCAGGGGUGCAAUGCGGCCUGCCCGGACCGAGGAACGCGCUUCGGCUCGGACGCUGGCAUAAUGGUCGUAAGCGACCCGUCUU
rnacentral:rRNA from 1 species